AUGGCCGCCGUGACCAAGAAGAAGAAGGUCAUCAUCGACACCGACCCAGGGAUCGAUGACGCCAUGGCCAUCUUCGUCGCGCUGAGGUCGCCGGAGCUGGAGGUGGUGGGCCUCACCACCAUCUUCGGCAACGUCUACACCGCCCUCGCCACCCGCAACGCGCUGCACCUCCUGGAGACCGCUGGGAGGACCGACAUCCCCGUCGCGGAGGGUUCCCAUGUAACAAUCAAGAAAGCCACCAAGCUACGGAUUGCCAGCUUCGUCCAUGGUUCCGAUGGCCUCGGCAACCAGAACUUCCCCCCGCCGGCCGGCAAGGCCGUAGAACAGUCCGCCGCCGCCUUCCUUGUCGAGCAGGCGAAUCUCUACCCUGGACAGGUCACCGUCGUCGCCCUCGGCCCCCUCACCAACCUUGCGCUCGCCGUCGAGCUUGACCCUUCUUUCCCAAAGAAGAUUGGGCAGAUUAUUAUCCUGGGUGGCGCAUAUUCAGUUAAUGGAAAUGUCAACCCUGCAGCUGAGGCAAAUAUAUUUGGCGAUCCUGAUGCGGCUGAUAUAGUUUUUACCUGCGGCGCGGAUAUUUUGGCCAUCGGAAUUAACAUCACGCACCAAGUACUCCUUUCUGAUGUUGACCGGAAGAAGCUUGAAGAGUCCGAUAGCAAAUAUGCUCGCUACUUGAGCAAUAUACUGGGUUAUUAUUAUGAUUAUCACAUGGACGCCUACUCCAUAACAGGAGUAUAUCUUCAUGAUCCCACAACUCUUCUUGCCGCCGUAGAUCCGUCGCUGAUGACUUACACGGAAGGAGUGGUGAGGGUUCAGACGGAUGGAAUCACAAAAGGUCUCACCGUUUUCGACAAUACCAAGAAAACGUAUGGGGAGAUAACAGCGUGGUGUGGUAAGCCGACCGUGAAGGUUGCUGUCACGGUCGAUGCCCCCGCUGUAGUGGAGCUCAUUAUGCAGAGGCUUCUCACGGACGACUGA
rnacentral:rRNA from 1 species